UUUAGUUCACUGAAACGCCGGGCCAGGUAACGUGGGCUUGUGACUCAAGUGAGGGCAUGACUGUGGUUGAAGAUUGGCUUGGUUGGAGAGGUAGGGUUCGCUGGGUUUUGAGAUUCUGGCUUGCCCGUUCCAAGUGGGGAGUUUGAACCUUGUGUCCCAACCGAAGGGUUGGGGAACGUGGUUCCUAGAGUGGAGGGCACCGCGUGAGGCUGGGCUCACAGAGCAGCGUUCACCUCCCGCUCCCCUCGGUGGAAGGACAACGAGCCGGUACUCCACGGGCCCAACGAUACCUCCUCAGCCGCUCUCAACCCGACAACCACUUUUUACCUCUUUUGUUUUUCUUCAUUCCAGCCAGUGGGUCAUGGGUAAAUGGGGGCCAAAAUCAGUGACUGGGUUUAGUUUCUGAAAAUAGUUGGUGAGCCAUUUGAUUUGCACCCAGAAUAUCCUAUAGAUUUUUUGGAUAUAUUCAUCAAUGUCAUGACACCUUCUUCAGAUUAAAAUUGCAUGUAAAUUUACCAGUCCAUUCGACUUCUGUGGGGCAUGCAAAUGCCCUGUUAAUUCCAUGGAACUCUUCUCAGUAACAAGAGAUAAUUCUAGUCCACUUCAUGCCUACCAACUCUUGUUCAUCUACUCUUCAUUCAUUCAUGCAACUAAUGAGUUGAAGAAAUUUUUUUGUGGGGUUUGAAGUGCAUCCAGAGAAGCUUUGUCAGAUCAAAAUAAGGAAUUGCAGGAAGCAAACCUCUUGGAACAUGUUAUUCCUACAAAGAUGGAUUUUUCUCAGGUUUCAUGUGCAUGAGUUCCCCUCUUGCUUAAUCUUUGAUGGUGAGAUUGGAUCUCAAAGUGCAUUUCAAAGUGUGGGAAUAUUUGAAUUUAAAAUGUUUGUUUGGAAUGUGCUGAUAGAUUGAAGGGGUUAUUUGGAAUCCACAAGGGAACAAAAUCAUCCUUUAUACUUGGACCCUUCUAGGUUUUGAAGAUGAAUCAACUUUCUGCCAUCCUUCUGGUGGCCCAACUUCUAUUAUGAUUCCUGUUUUGUUGCGUUUGGAUUUGAGGCUUUAAAUGUUAUCAAAAGCAAAGUGACCAUUUGGCUUGUAUCCCUAAGUUUCUAACUAAGUUGGGGAUGUGGCAGUUCUCUUGCUGAUUCAUCUUCUGGGGCCUGUCAAUGUGUAAAGGGAUGUUUGGUAAGGUCUUUUCUGGAGCAUGAAGAAGCAGCUACAGAUGUCCUGACGGAAGCUUACACCCUUGUACCCUUGGGAAGCAAAUGUUCUCUAUCAGAUGUCAGAAGGGGAAGAGAUGGACGGCGCACGAUGACAGAGUAGGGGUUUGAAUUAAAAAAAUGUAUGAAUGAGAGGGAGAGAGCACUCCCUUUCACUAGGAAUUGUCAUCAAUAUUUCAAUCAUAUAUAGGCAAGUAGUCCCCAAAAGGCAUAUUUAUAUAUACUAUACUUUAUUUUUUUCUUUGGAGUAAUCAAUUUGGCGAGUGGUACACCAUGCUGCCUCUUUGGAGGCAAGGUGGAAAGCUUCCAAGUCCUGCCAAACCAAAAGUUAACAAUUACAAAGUUGAUCAUUUUAACCAUUAUUUUUUCUAGUGUACCUUUAGCAGGGGAAUAAAAAUUGGUCAAAAUAAAGGGAAAUAUGCAAAGAAAGAG